CCCUCCGAAAACUCGUAAAUAUAUACGUAUGUAUACAGGGUGAUUCUUUUUUACCAUUGUGAACAGGCGAUUGUUAUCUACGCAAGUACAUUUUGAUUUUCCUCCUACACUUUUCUUUAAAAUAUAGUUUAACUUUUGUAACUCGUAAACGAUAAAGAAGUUGCCCCGACUAUGUACGUACCUAUAUUAGUGUUUUGCGUUAACGGGAUUUUUAUAGAAAAUAUUUCAUUUUC